AUUGAACGCUAGCGGGAUGCCUUACACAUGCAAGUCGAACGGUGUGGCGAACGGGCGAGUAAUGUACCGGUACGUGCCCAGUCGCGGGGGAUAACUACGCGAAAGCGUAGCUAAUAUCGCACACUAUUGGAGCGGCCGAUAUCGGAUUAGCUAGGUGGUAGGGCAACGGGUCACCAAGGCGACGACCCGUAGCUGGUUUGAGAGGAGGACCAGCCACACUGGAACUGAGACACGGCCCAGACGCCUACGGGAGGCAGCAGUAGGGAAUUUUGCGCAAUGGGGGAAACCCUGAUCGAGCCAUCCCGCGUGUGCGAUGAAGGCCUUCGGGUUGUAAAGCUCUUUUAGCAGGGAAGCGGUACCUACACAGUAAGCACCGGCUAACUACGUGCCAGCAGCCGCGGUAAUAC
rnacentral:rRNA from 1 species